CAAGGCUGGAGAUGAAGGAGAGACCCACGCUGUGUGCCUACAUCUCUGGAAGCAGUUGGCCUCUUGGCGUUCUACCCCCCAGGGAGCAGAAGCUGGAGACUGGAGGUGUAAUUUCAGGUCUCGGAAUAGGCUGACCCCAGGUUAUACAAAGCCUGAAUUGAAGUCUAGUGACAAGUGUCCUCAUGAAAGUCAGAAGACAGAAAAGUGGAGGUGGCACAGCAUUGGUUGCCGGAGUGACCUGGCCCCUACUUCAACAGCUACAGGAGCUGGCUGGGACCAGGAGAGACUGGGCAGCUCUGAGGAGAGCACAGCUCCGCCUACAUUGCGACUUAGGACCUCCAACCUUCAGAUCUGGGAAAACUGUUGCUUCUCUGGGACCCUGGGCUGUAGUGAUCAGCUCUGGUGGCUGCUAUGGGGUGUGUCCUCAGUCUGUCUGGACUCAGUGCUCUGGUCCCUGGGUGGCCCAUGGGGUUACCAUGAGUUAGAUGCCCUGAGGAUCCUGUGUCAUCCCUGAUAUAAGAGCUGCUUUAGACAUCCCCUUCCCAGAGGAAGACAUCUCCAGGGUGUGCAGAGAAGCUCUGUUUUUUGUUACUACUUUAUUACAUACCCAGUGGUGAAAUCAAUAAUUUCCAGCAGGUCUUAGACUCCGGGGUAACCAUAGCAACCAAUUCAGAAUGCAAAAAGGUUGGGGUCCCUUGCCGAUCUGACCCUUCCUUGGUCUCCCUGUUCAUGGUUCUUUACCCUCGCCCUAGUUUUCAUGCUCUAAGUAGACUCAUCUUCCCUUGCCCAUCCUACCACAGGGCCUUUGAGCCUACUCUUACCCCAACCUGGAACACACUCCUCCUUCUCCACCCCUUCGCCAGCUAACUCCUGUCCCUUUUCAAAGGCGUUCAAAGAGUGGUCCAAUUGAUCCCCAUGGACCAGCUUUGCCAGGCACAGCUCACUGCCAGCCCAGCAUCCCUCCCUCCUCCACCAACCUCUGCCGGUGCCUGGUUGCCUUACAGCUGGGGCCUUCAGCUCAGCUAUUCAUUUAUUUUCCAGUACUGGGGGAAGAACCCAGGGCCCUGCAUUUGUGAGCUUCGUCUCUCAGCUGUAUUCUUAGGCUUUCGGGUCAGUUGAGUUUAUUUUCGUUUGUUCGUUUUGUUUGUGCAGCCCUGACUGUCCUAGAACUCACAUGGCAGAGCAGGCUGACCUUGAAUUCAGAGACCCACCUGCCUCUCCUGGGGUUAAGAAUGUGUGCACUGCUGGUCAGUGGUGGCUCACACCUUUAAUUCCAUCACUCAGCACAGGCAGGUGGCUGUCUGUGAGUUCUAGGCCACCCUGGUCUGUAGAGGGGGCUCCAGGACAGCCAGGACUACAUAGAGAAACCCUGUCUUGAAAACCCAAAACAACAACAAAAAGCUUGGCUCAGGUUAGUGGUUUGUGUUUGUCACCAUGGACUCCUGCCCUCUGAUGUGUGCUUACAGGCUGUCCCCACCCACAGGGGCCACUCAUCGCUUUCGCUCCCCACUCGUUCCUGGUGCCUGGUGAGGUGCCACAUAAUGGGGACUCUAUUCCUGCAAGUGGCUAUGAGGACUCCUCAGCCAAGGGCAAGACCAGCCCCAAGUCCACCUGCACCCCCCCUUUUCUGACCAGCAGUCAGAUACUAUGGUGGGGAUCCCAGGAAACACCAAUGCUUACCUGCCAGGUCCUUCUCCCCCAUCCGAGUCCCAAUCUGGCUGCACAUUCGGCCUUUGUAAAGAAUUCCGUUUACCCCCAGGAUGUCCACCUCGGCCUGUGGGAUGGCCCAGACCCCAAGUCAGGGUCACCAUUGCCACCCCCUUUCCUUGAUGCACACAGAUGCCCAGAGCCAGAGCACAGCUUCCUCAAGGUGCCCCCAGCUCAGAGCUUCAUCUCACACUGGGGCUGGGUAUGCUGGUGUCUAGCCUCUAUGGGAGGGAACAGCCAGACUCACGGUAUCAUAGUCCAUCAGCUCGGGGUCCCCAUAAGGAUAGAAUGUUGUCAGGUCGUGUGACUUGUGCUUCAAGAUGGUCUCAUUUCGGGGCCCAUCACCCCAGUCCUUCUGGAGGCCCAGGCCCUCCUCAUGGACUCCAAAGGUCUGGAAAUGCAGCUGCUGCUGUUGCUCCCUGGACAGGGCAGAAGAUCAGCAGCCACGGGGAGACCCUCUCUAACACAGAGGAGCCACGGGGAGACCCUCUCUAACACAGAGGAGCCACGGGGAGACCCUCUCUAUCACAGAGGAGCCCCGCAGGGCCCCAGGCUCCGGACAGUAUCAAGGAAGGAGGGCAGAAUGACAGGCAGGCCUGGAACGUGGUGAGCCAACACAGACAUGGACAGUUCUGGAGAGAAAUAACCCACAUUCCCUUCCCUGAGCCAGUCACACCUGAAGCCCUGGUCUGGCCUUGCACACUUUUAAUCGUGGGCUCCAACUGUCGGCACAGGAUGGGUGAGCCAGCGUGGAUGUUUCAUUCUUCCCCUGAUGCUGACUACCCCUUAAGUCGUUCAUUCCACUGCCCCAGCCCCGCUCCUGGCUAGAAGCUCACAUAGGUUAGGCCCUGGAAGGAGCCCCUGGCAUCCAAGGAUGAAGGAAAUGGUAGAGUGAGAAAACUGAUGGCAGGUAAGGCUCCCCAGCCACUCGCUAGCAGGUCACAUGGUCUGAGUCUGUUUCUUCAACUGUGAAGUGGGAUGAUAAUCCCAAGGAAGCCAUGUGGCCCAACAAGUUUCAGCAAGUCUCCCAGAGGAUCCUCCAAUUACCCACUCACAGGAACCGUGCAUGUUAACUAUAACCCUGGAUCCCAGGACUUAAGGGGAAGCCUUCCCAUUUGCAAAUGCCCACUUCUUCAGCAGUGCUGAGAUUCAUCCAGGGCCUUGUGCAUGCCGGACACACACUUAUCACUGAGCUAUGACCCCAGCCCUUCUGUUCUUUUUACUUUGAGGCAAGAUUUUACCCUAAAGCCUAUGAAGCCCUCAUGAUACUUUUGCCUCAGUCUCCUAAGUAGCUGUUACAGGAUGCAUCUGCUACAGGACCCAGCUAAGAUCCAGGUCACAGUAUAUGCCAAUGCAAAUGUCGGUUCCUCUCCCCCACUGUCCUCUGUGUGCCCAUCAGCCACCUCCCAGAUGGGCAUCCUGGGCCCUCUUUGGCGCUUGCAUCAAAGGAAAGUCUCUUCAGGACAGAGGUCUUGGCUCUCUCCCGAGGGUGGGGGUGGGCAUAACCCUCACCUCAUCAGCUGUCGCUGCAGAUACUCAUAGCUGUUGGCACUGGCUGGCCUUAUUCGUGACAGCCCCCCGUGGAUGUUGCGAAUGGUGAUGAGCUGUCUGUGGAGGCAGAGGGAACCAGGGCUGUGAGAGGUGCACAUGGCCAGCAGAGGGCUCCAGGCUCCCAGGCCUGUUCAAACUGUGUGUCUGCAGCUCACAGCCCAAAGCCAACUCACAAAACCUGCAGGGCUUCUGAGAACCGGGGGAAGACACAAACAACAUUCUGAAUAUAAGUGAAAAACAAGCCAGGGGUGGUGGUGCACCCUACAAUCCCAACACUUGGGAGACCGAGGCAGGAGGGUAGCAAGUUCAAAGUCGGCCUGUACUAUUAGUACAUACUGAGUUCAAGGUUAAGGCUAUCUUUGGCCUUGUUUCCAGUAAUAAGUAAAUAAAUAAAUAGUCAAAAA
rnacentral:sRNA from 1 species